rnacentral:rRNA from 1 species
AUACGGAGGGUGCAAGCGUUGUUCGGAAUCACUGGGCGUAAAGGGCGCGCAGGCGGUUUUACAAGUCAGAUGUGAAAGCCCACGGCUUAACCGUGGAAGUGCAUUUUAAACUGUAAGACUUGAGUAUCAGAGGGGAAGGUGGAAUUCCCGGUGUAGAGGUGAAAUUCGUAGAUAUCGGGAGGAAUACCGGUGGCGAAGGCGACUUUCUGGCUGAAUACUGACGCUGAGGCGCGAAAGCGUGGGGAGCAAACAGGAUUAGAAACCCCAGUAGUCC